AGGAGAAGAAAACAAUCUAGUGAUUGCGCAAGUAGUGGCGAGCGAACGCGUAAGAGCCCAAACCAGGUCAGUUACGGCUGCCCUGGGGUUAUAGGACUACAUAAUCUGACUAACAUGAAGUUGAACUGGGUGGGAAACCAGGCCAUAGAGGGUGAUAGCCCCUUAAGCGUAAGGUGUUAGAAGGAGGUAGUAUCCUGAGUAGGGCGGGGUCGGAGACGCCCCGUUUGAAGUUGCCAGCACCAUCUGGUAAGGCUAAAUACUCCUGAGAGACCGAUAGAGAACCAGUACUGUGAAGGAAAGGUGAAAAGUACUCCGAAUAGGAGGGUGAAAUAGAACCUGAAACCAUACGCUUACAAGCGGUUGGAGCUCCGAAAUGGAGUGACAGCGUGCCUUUUGCAUAAUGAGCCUACGAGUUACUGUCACUGGCAAGGUUAAGUGUCUGAAGACACGCAGCCGGAGCGAAAGCGAGUCUGAAUAGGGCGUACAGUCAGUGGGAGUAGACGCGAAACUUUGUGAUCUACCCUUGGUCAGGAUGAAGUUCCGGUAACACGGGAUGGAGGUCCGAACUAGUAAACGUUGAAAAGUUUUUGGAUGAACUGAGGGUAGGGGUGAAAGGCUAAUCAAACUGAGAAAUAGCUCGUACUCCCCGAAAUGCCUUUAGGGGCAGUGUGGAGGUUAAGUUUUGUACAGGUAGAGCUACCAAUUGGACUAGGGGGAGUCACAUCCUACCAAAUCCAGAUGAACUCCGAAUGGUACUAAAUAUACUCUGCAAUGAGGGCAUGGGUGCUAAGGUCCGUGUCCGAGAGGGAAAGAACCCAGACCAACAGCUAAGGUCCCAAAAUCUACACUAAGUUGAACUAAGGCGGUUCAGUUGCUUAGACAGCCAGGAUGUUUGCUUGGAAGCAGCAAUUCAUUUAAAGAGUGCGUAACAGCUCACUGGUCGAGCGACAGAGCAUCGAUAAUAAUCGGGCAUCAAGUGUAGUACCGAAGCUCAGGAUUUAGCAGCAAUGCUAAGUGGUAGGGGAGCAUUCUAACAGCGGAGAAGUCGUCUGGUAAUGGACGGUGGAGCAGUUAGAAAAGCAAAUGUAGGCAUAAGUAACGAUAAGGCAGGCGAGAAACCUGCCCACCGAUAGACUAAGGGUUCCGCGGCAAUGCUAAUCAUCCGCGGGUAAGUCGGGGCCUAAGGCGAGCCCGAAAGGGGUAGUUGAUGGACAACCGGUUAAUAUUCCGGUACUAGCGUAUUGAGCGAUGGGGUGAAGGAGUAGUGAUAGUUCCGCGACCUGACGAAAUAGGUCGUUUAAGGAUGUAGGUAUAGGCCUGGUAGGAAAAUCCGCCGGGUUUGCUGAAAUCUGAAAGUACCAGGAGGCUUCGGCCAAAUGGAGUGAACGUAAGCAGACUUCCGAGAAAACCCCCUAAGCAUAUUGAUACGGUACCCGUACCGCAAACCGACACAGGUAGUCAAGGAGAGAAUCCUGAGGUGCUCGAGUGAAUCAUGGCUAAGGAACUAGGCAAAUUAAACCUGUAACUUCGGGAAAAGGGUUGCCUCUCUUUAGCAAUAAAGAAGGUCGCAGAGAAAUGGCCCAGGCGACUGUUUAACAAAAACACAUGGCUAUGCGAAAUCGAAAGAUGAGGUAUAUGGCCUGACACCUGCCCGGUGCUGGAAGGUUAAGGGGGGAUGUUAGUGGAGCAAUCUGCGAAGCAUUGAACUGAAGCCCCAGUAAACGGCGGCCGUAACUAUAACGGUCCUAAGGUAGCGAAAUUCCUUGUCGGGUAAGUUCCGACCUGCACGAAUGGUGUAACGAUCUGGGCACUGUCUCAACCAUGAGCUCGGUGAAAUUGUAGUCACGGUGAAGAUGCCGUGUACCCGUCACGGGACGGAAAGACCCCAUGCACCUUUACUAUAGCUUCACAUUGACAUUGGGUAACUGAUGUGUAGGAUAGGCGGGAGGCUUUGAUCCGUGGCCGCUAGGUUACGGGGAGUCAACGGUGAAAUACCGCCCUUUAUUUUCUUGAUGUCUAAUCCCUGAAAAGGGAGACAGUGUGUGGUGGGUAGUUUGACUGGGGUGGUCGCCUCCGAAAGUGUAUCGGAGGCUUUCAAAGGUAUGCUCAGUACGCUUGGUAACCGUACGUGGAGUGCAAUAGCAUAAGCAUGCUUGACUGUGAGACUGACGGGUCGAUCAGGAACGAAAGUUGGAUAUAGUGAUCCGGUGGUUCUGUAUGGAAGGGCCAUCGCUCAAAGGAUAAAAGGUACGCUGGGGAUAACAGGCUGAUC
rnacentral:rRNA from 1 species